AUCGAGCUGACGAGUCCCAAAUAGGACGAAGCUCUCAUCCUCGAU
rnacentral:hammerhead_ribozyme from 1 species